UGAAUAUACCGGUUCUCGUUAGAUCACCGAAGUCACAUCAUUGGGCGUGGUCAGUUCUUGGGUGGGUGACCACCUGGGAACACCGCGUGCCGUU
rnacentral:rRNA from 1 species